rnacentral:misc_RNA from 1 species
UGAUGAUAUUUUCUGGUGACUCCUAUGAAUUGUACAGUUAGCUUUGCACUUCACCAAAUUCUUGUGGACAAUAGUCCUGUAUGUCUCUUGUAACAUCAUUGCAAACCAUUAGAGCCCUUGUGUAUGAGGGGGGAAACAAGGUUAGGAAAAAGAUGAGAGGAAAAACAGGAAAAAAAAAACAAAAGAAAAAACAAAACAAAGAAAGAAGGAGAGGUAGUCUGCAUUGGACUACGUCAAUAUUAUCAUGUAUUUAUUAUCUGUACCAUAUAUGUAAUUUGUCUUUGGAUAAUACAUACA